rnacentral:lncRNA from 1 species
UUGGCACAAAUUGCUGGAGCUGAAUGUACCAGGGUGGGUGAAGGGGAGGAUGAGGUCAGAGAGGUAACAGGGCCAGGCAAGCCAUUGUCAGGAUUUUGGAUUUUACUGUGUACGGAAUGUGUUUGCCAGAACAAUGCGGGAGUUGCAGAGAGAGGUGUCCUGUGUUUGUUCCCAGUCUUCCUUCACUCACCUGCACCUGCUCCUGCCCUGCUUCGGCCAACAUGUUCUAUGCAGGGUGGUUUUGCUGAUGAGACAGCUGCAGUUUGGGGAGUGUGAUAUCAAGGAAAGCAGUGUCUUGAGUCUGUCACUUUCUCUCUCUGUCCCAUUGGGCUCACUGAUGUCACUUAGAGGAAGGCAGGGGCACAAGAUGGGAGGACCCAGAGCUCCGGGUUCUUAAGUACGGAUUUAAUUAAAUGAUAGACAAAAAGUAGAGUGGCACAAGUCAAACUCAAAAAAUAGUAACAACAAAAUCAAUUUCAAAAUAAGCAACAGCAAUAAAUGUUACCUACUAUUUUACGAAUGAAAAUACUGAGACCAAUAAAGGCAUUAUAGUAUACAUAGCCUUGGAAUCAGAAGACCAAGAACAUACAAGAGAACAUAGCCUUGGAAUCAGAAGACCAAGAAACAAUUUAACUCUGCCCCUCUAGAGCUCUGAGAACUUGGGCAAGCCUUUUACCCUCUGGAAUUUUUGCCACCUUCAAUGAGAAAGACUGAAACAAAAAACUCAGAAGAAAGAAAGAGACUGAGAUAGCAAAUAUGACAAACUGUUAAAAAUUCAUGAAUCUGUUAUGGAAUACUAUGCAGCCAUAAAAAAGGAUGAGUUCCUGUCCUUUGCAAGGACGUGUAUGAAGCUGGAAACCAUCAUUCUGAG